GGGAGUGAGAGUGUGUGGGAGUGGGGUGAGGGAGAGGCUGACGGGACGCGAGGCUGUGAGAAACUGGGCGAGUGUGCGAGGACGCCCGGCCAGCCUGCGGGAGCCGCGGUCGGCGGAGGAGAAAGGAGGCGGCUCCCGGUAUCCCGACCCCCUCCCCCUCCUCUCCUUCCCCCACUUCCAGCCGCCCGGCGGCCCGCGCUUCCUCGAAGGCCCCAGCCCGGCUCAGUCGGCCGAGAGCGAGGGAGGAGCCCCCCUAACCAGGUGCUGGAGUCCGCUUGUCAGGGAGGGGGGCAGUCUGUGAUUCUGAGAACAGAGCCAAGAAGGGGAACAGCAAAUUCAGUCACAUAGAAUCCUCCACUCAGUCAAGAGCCACUUUUCUCUUCCUGCCUUGCCCCCCGCAGGGGGUAAGGAACUGAGCGUUUAACCUUUAGCCCAUUGGCUACCAGCUAAAAUUCUACUUAUUUUAGUUUCUAGUGGAUAGCUUUCUUAUUUUGCCCGUGUUUCCUUAGAAUCCCUAUUUAAUAGACUUUUGUCAGUAGUAGCAUCUAGGAGUAGCAGGGAGAGUGACAAUAAAUUAGCCCCUUCUUUUUUCCCUUCUCAUUCAGGCCCCUUUUCCUCUCCAGAGGGAAAUUACCAGUAAACUCUUCUAAAUCCUCCACCCCUUCUCAGUCAUACUGUGAAGAAACACACACUAAAGUGGACAUUAUUUGACCAGUGAACACGAACCCAGCUUCAGGCAUUGGUUUGUUGUGGCACAUGGAGAAACGUCUCUUUUAAAAUGUCUCCCAAUUACCCUUUUCACAAUUUGUAUCCACCUAGGAUUUGCUGCUGGGGUAAGUCACUAGAUUUAUUUCUCAAAUCUCCCCUCUCUAUGAGCUGAAAGACUGACCAACCAUGAACACUGGUAGGAGAUGGUGAAAGGGGACAGAGCAGAGCCAAUUGUUCCACACUUUGGGAAGCAGGAGUAGCUUUUAUCAUCUUACUCUGGGGAGCAGGCAUAGAGACAUAAACUGAGUGAAAAUGGGUGGAGGAAGAACUUCUAUACCCACGAACAACAUGUGAAGAGAGAGAACCAAACAUAAAGUAAGGAGGGUAGACGUUACAUCCAAGAGGAAAUAAUCCAGGCAAGGAAGCACAAGCUGAUCAAGAUGUGUAGUUCUGUGGCUGCGAAGUUGUGGUUUUUGACAGAUCGUCGCAUCAGGGAAGACUAUCCUCAAAAAGAGAUUUUACGAGCAUUGAAGGCCAAAUGUUGUGAGGAGGAACUGGACUUUAGAGCUGUGGUGAUGGAUGAGGUGGUGCUGACAAUCGAGCAAGGAAACCUGGGUCUGCGGAUCAAUGGAGAGCUAAUCACUGCCUACCCACAAGUGGUGGUAGUCAGAGUACCAACCCCUUGGGUGCAAAGUGAUAGUGACAUCACUGUUUUGCGCCAUCUAGAGAAGAUGGGAUGUCGGUUAAUGAACCGACCUCAAGCCAUCCUGAACUGCGUUAAUAAGUUCUGGACAUUUCAAGAGUUGGCUGGCCAUGGUGUUCCUCUGCCGGAUACUUUCUCUUAUGGUGGCCAUGAAAAUUUUGCUAAAAUGAUUGAUGAAGCUGAAGUACUGGAGUUCCCAAUGGUAGUAAAGAAUACGCGGGGUCAUAGAGGUAAAGCUGUUUUCUUGGCUCGAGAUAAGCACCAUUUGGCUGAUCUAAGCCAUCUUAUUCGCCAUGAAGCACCAUACCUGUUCCAGAAGUAUGUUAAAGAGUCUCAUGGACGGGAUGUACGUGUCAUUGUCGUGGGAGGCCGUGUGGUUGGCACCAUGUUACGUUGUUCAACAGAUGGGAGAAUGCAAAGCAACUGCUCAUUAGGUGGUGUGGGGAUGAUGUGCUCAUUGAGUGAACAAGGGAAGCAGCUAGCUAUCCAGGUGUCUAAUAUCCUGGGGAUGGAUGUGUGUGGCAUUGACCUGUUGAUGAAAGAUGACGGCUCCUUCUGCGUCUGUGAGGCCAAUGCAAAUCCUUUUCAGGAGCCAAAAAAACAAAUACAAACAAACAAAAAAA
rnacentral:sRNA from 1 species